rnacentral:rRNA from 1 species
AACAAACGCUGGCGGCGUGCCUAACACAUGCAAGUCGAACGGGGCAAGCUUUCGGGUGAGUACUAGUGGCGCACGGGUGAGGAACGCGUGGAUAAUCUGCCUUAGAGCGGGGGAUAACUAGUCGAAAGAUUAGCUAAUACCGCAUAAGACCACGAGAGCUGCGGUUUUUGAGGUCAAAGGUUUUUCGCUCUAAGAUGAGUCUGCGUAAGUUUAGCUAGUUGGUGGGGUAACGGCUCACCAAGGCGACGACGUUUAACUGGUCGUAGAGGAUGAUCAGUAACACCGGAAGGGCGACGCCGCGGAGACGCCUACGGGAGGAGGCAGGAGGGAAGAAUGCUGGACGGUGGAAGCUAGGAUGAUGCAGCACCGCGGGGUGAGUGAAGAAGUUCGGGGCGUAGAGCAGUGCCGCAGGGGAAUAUCACAAUGACGGUACCCGGAGAAAAAGGACCGGCUAACUUCGUG